CCUGCUUGAGCCCUGGCGGAGCCGGGGACUGUUGUAUCGAAGCAGGGAAGGGCCCGAUGGCAGAGCCCGUCCCCGGCACGGAGCGCCCCGAGCCUGGAGCCGGCCAGUGCUUGGCCCCUAUCUCCCGAAUGCCCUCGGCCAGGGACUGGAGUUAGGGGGCAGGGUCCUGGUGCGGGCUCUGGGUCUGCCAGCCAGCGGGUUCAAGCCCCCUGAGUCAAUCAUGAGACUGGCUUUAAAAUCGGGGCUCUGAGCCUCGCGUGUUGAAGCGUUGCAGGGUCACCCCGUCAAGCUUGUCUCUGCAGCCCAUACGGAUUAGAGCCUGAACGUUUUACAAUGAAAGCCUAGAAGAUGGACAUUUUACAAGCCAUAAUAGACUGCUCCUUUCCCAGGAGCAAAGAGAUACUAGCAUCCAAGCCUAUAUGCUUCCCACCAUCCACCUACAUCAUCAUGAUCAUAUGCCAGGGAGGUUCUCUCCUCAUCAGGUGCAACUCCAAUGGCUUCAGUGAAGUUAGUCCUGAUUUACACCAGCAUCAGCAAAAUGAAAAUCGGACCUACUUAAUAGAUGUUAAAUGAGAAGGUUGAAAGAAGAUGGUUCUGAAAAGUAUGUGCAUGUAGGUAGAUAGAUAUUAAAUAAAUAAAAACUACACCCAAUAGGAAUAAUAGAAAGAUAUUCUUCUAAAGUAAAGGAUGACAUAUUUGAACUAUGUGUUUAGCAAAGUUGCAUUUUCUAUGUGUACCAAAAUGGUUGCAAAGAUCAAUGUAAGAAAAAUUAUUCCAGUUUUAUAGAUAUUGAAAAUUUUAUGCAUAUCCCAUGUACCAUAUUUUAGUUAUUUACAAACAUAAGAAAGAAACAAUGAAUAGGCCUAUAGCUUCUCGUUGCAAGAUGUAGAUAAGUUCAGUAUUCAGGUUCACUGUUUGACCCAUUAAACUGGUAUUGAGGUAUAAUUUGUGUGUUUUCCCAGUACGGUUUCACAUAGAAUGGGGUUCAUUUCCACAAGUUUGAAUAAAUUUAUCCAGUUCAGUGAACCUGUUGUUAAGCUUAGCAAAACUCAGUAGGUGGCUUUAAAGUCCUGUAAUUAGCCCAUUACAUAAAAUCUGUACUUUAGAUUUUUGCACAUUGGUUAAUAAGUGUAACAUACUUCAUAUAUAUAUAUAAAUAACAUUACAUUAAGCGAUGCAAAAUUAAGAAA